UUCCAGACACCGGGGAAAUGAGGCAGAGGCUGACGCCGAGCAGCUCGGGGAACCCAUUCCCUGUUCCCCUGUGGAUGGACCUGGUACAGAAAAGUUAUUCCUGACACUUGUUAACGCUCUUCUCUCCUCCCCUGCCCGUAGCAGAACACCAAGAUUGCCACUCAGAGGAAAAGACCACAUCGUCUCAGCUCAUGUGGCCUCAGAGAUGCAUGACUUGUCAACAGGUGGGCAAGGAAAUGUUAAGUGUAACUGUUGGGUAGGAGUUCCAGGGGGACUUCUUAAGAUAUAAGAUCUGUGGUCUGCGACACUUACUCCUGCUUACUCUCUCCUACUGCCUCCAGUGCCUGCAUGAAGAGCAGCAAGAGAUUAAGCAGCCAUUGUAGACCUUCAGGCAAGAUGCUGGGAUGAAGAGCAAGAGAGGCUCUAGCAAGAGAGGCUUCUAGCUCCUGUAAGCCUCUAUUUUGAGGUUUUCUGCUAUAGGCCGCUAUCUUUGAUCAUAUUAACAAUUAUGGAUUUUUGCAAGGUUUAAAAACCCAUGUUGUCAAUCCUCAGUCAAUACCCAACCACAGCCUUUCUCAGUAUGUGUGACCCUGCCAUGAGGCCAUCAAACUUCCUUUCAGACUAUUAUAUUGAUUUUGAAUAUGUUAUUGGGCUAGUGAUACACAUUUGAUUAAUUCUACACCAUCAUUUCUUUAAAGAUUGCUUCUUCCCAUAGUUUAAAUUAAUUGCAAAGCUUGUUCCACUCAGGGUAAUAAUUUGCAACUUGCUUUUUACCAUUGUCAAUUUAAAAUAUUUUAAUUCAUGCCAAGUGUUACUUCUCUUUCUGUAGCCAGGAAGAGUACUAUGGUGUACUCUUCUUGAGAUCAAAGAAGUUAAAAGUAUUUUUAUAAGAUUAGCGACAUGAAAAGUAAUAUAGUAAAGUAAAAUAGUAAAGAAUAAUAUGACACAGUCGUUUUGUAUAAAGAAAUUCACUAACUUCCUGGAUUCCCAGCAUUUCCUCUUUGCUCAGACACAAGCCUUGAUUUUGCCAACUUCUCUUUAAACUUGCCACCAGCCUCUUAUUUUAAGGAAAAGAAUAAAUGAAGUUUGCUUUAAGGCCCUUUCCUUCA
rnacentral:lncRNA from 1 species